rnacentral:rRNA from 1 species
AAGGCGGAGCUUACCAUGCAGUCGACGGUAACAGGCCUUCGGGCGCUGACGAGUGGCGGACGGGUGAGUAACGCGUAGGAAUCUGCCUGUUAGUGGGGGACAACGUGGGGAAACUCACGCUAAUACCGCAUACGCCCUACGGGGGAAAGCGGGGGCUCUUCGGACCUCGCGCUAACAGAUGAGCCUGCGUGGGAUUAGCUAGUUGGUAGGGUAAAGGCCUACCAAGGCGACGAUCCCUAGCUGGUCUGAGAGGACGAUCAGCCACACUGGGACUGAGACACGGCCCAGACUCCUACGGGAGGCAGCAGUGGGGAAUAUUGGACAAUGGGCGCAAGCCUGAUCCAGCAAUACCGCGUGUGUGAAGAAGGCCUGAGGGUUGUAAAGCACUUUCAAUGGGGAGGAAAACCUGCCGGUCAAUACCCGGCAGCUUGACAUUACCUUUAGAAGAAGCACCGGCUAACUCCGUGCCAGCAGCCGCGGUAAUACGGAGGGUGCGAGCGUUAAUCGGAAUUACUGGGCGUAAAGCGUGCGUAGGCGGUUAACUAAGUCAGAUGUGAAAGCCCCGGGCUUAACCUGGGAACGGCAUUUGAUACUGGUUAACUAGAGUUGAGUAGAGGGGAGUGGAAUUUCAGGUGUAGCGGUGAAAUGCGUAGAUAUCUGAAGGAACACCAGUGGCGAAGGCGACUCCCUGGACUCAAACUGACGCUGAGGUACGAAAGCGUGGGUAGCAAACAGGAUUAGAUACCCUGGUAGUCCACGCCGUAAACGAUGUCAACUAGCCGUUGGUUCUAUUUACAGAAUUAGUGGCGCAGCUAACGCAUUAAGUUGACCGCCUGGGGAGUACGGCCGCAAGGUUAAAACUCAAAGGAAUUGACGG